rnacentral:rRNA from 1 species
UACAGAGGUCUCAAGCGUUGUUCGGAUUCACUGGGCGUAAAGGGCGCGUAGGCGGUUCGCUAAGUUGGAUGUGAAAACUCUGGGCUCAACCCAGAGCCUGCAUCCAAAACUGGCGGGCUAGAGUUCUGGAGGGGGUAGCGGAAUUCCUGGUGUAGCGGUGAAAUGCGUAGAUAUCAGGAGGAACACCGGUGGCGAAGGCGGCUACCUGGACAGAAACUGACGCUGAGGCGCGAAAGCUAGGGGAGCAAACAGG